rnacentral:rRNA from 1 species
GACGAACGCUGGCGGCGUGCCUAAUACAUGCAAGUCGAACGCAGUGGGAGCGGGUGAGUAACACGUGGGUAACCUCCCGUCAGAGGGGAUAACACGUGGCAACAGGUGCUAAACCGCUACUGAUGGAUGGACCCGGGGUGCAUUAGCGAGUGGGGGGGGUAACGGCUCACCAAGGCCACGAUGCAUAGCUGACCGGAGAGGGUGACCGGCCACACUGGAACUGAGACACGGCCCAGACUCCUACGGGAGGCAGCAGUAGGGAAUCUUCGGCAAUGGACGAAAGUCUGACCGAGCCAUGCCGCGUGAGUGAAGAAGGCCUUCGGAUUGUAAAGCUCUGUCGGUGGGGAAGCGGUACCUAACCAGGAAGCACCGGCUAACUCCGUGCCAGCAGCCGCGGUAAUAC